AUUGAACGCUGGCGGCAGGCCUAACACAUGCAAGUCGAACGGUAACAGGAAGCAGCUUGCUGCUUCGCUGACGAGUGGCGGACGGGUGAGUAAUGUCUGGGAAGCUGCCUGAUGGAGGGGGAUAACUACUGGAAACGGUAGCUAAUACCGCAUAAUGUCGCAAGACCAAAGAGGGGGACCUUCGGGCCUCUUGCCCUCGGAUGUGCCCAGAUGGGAUUAGCUUGUUGGUGGGGUAACGGCUCACCAAGGCGACGAUCCCUAGCUGGUCUGAGAGGAUGACCAGCCACACUGGAACUGAGACACGGUCCAGACUCCUACGGGAGGCAGCAGUGGGGAAUAUUGGACAAUGGGCGCAAGCCUGAUGCAGCCAUGCCGCGUGUAUGAAGAAGGCCUUCGGGUUGUAAAGUACUUUCAGCGGGGAGGAAGGGAGUAAAGUUAAUACCUUUGCUCAUUGACGUUACCCGCAGAAGAAGCACCGGCUAACUCCGUG
rnacentral:rRNA from 1 species